rnacentral:rRNA from 1 species
CCCCGCCGGCCGCGCCGAACUCUUCAUUUGCAAAGCGGACUGUAUGUUCUGAUUAUAUCUUGAAAAACAAGUCAAAACUUUCAACAACGGAUCUCUUGGUUCUGGCAUCGAUGAAGAACGCAGCGAAAUGCGAUAAGUAAUGUGAAUUGCAGAAUUCAGUGAAUCAUCGAAUCUUUGAACGCACAUUGCGCCCGGCAGCAAUCUGCCGGGCAUGCCUGUCCGAGCGUCAUUUCUGCCCUCGAGCGCGGUUCGGCCCCUAGCGGGCCGUCCGCCGCCCGGUGUUGGGGCGCUGCGGGCCCUCGUGCCCGCAGGCCCUGAAAUGAAGUGGCGGUCCCGCCGCGGCGCCCCCUGCGUAGUAGUAAAGCACCUCGCAUCGGGUCCCGGCGGAGGCCAGCCGUCGAACCUCUUUCUCUUGAUGGUUUGACCUCGGAU